GCGAACUCUGUGCCAGUGGCCGCGGUAAUCCAGAGACGGCAAGCGGUAGUCUGAUUCACUGGGCGUAAAGGGUGCGCAGGCGGCCGGGUGAGUUGGGCGGGAAAGCCCGGGGCUUAACCCCGGAAUUGCACCCAAAACUACAUGGCUAGAGCAUUGGAGAGGGUAGCAGAAUUCAUGGUGUAGCAGUGAAAUGCGUAGAUAUCAUGAGGAAUACCAGAGGCGAAGGCGGCUACCUGGACAAUUGCUAACGCUCAGGCACGAAAGCGUGGGGAGCAAAAGGGAUUAGAUACCCUAGUAGUC
rnacentral:rRNA from 1 species